rnacentral:lncRNA from 1 species
UAAUAAUAGACUGGUGGAUACCCUAGUGAUGGGCCUCACUGGGCUAAGCUAGGCUGGUCCAAGGAUGAAAGGCAUAAUUCAUUGCUAGCUUGUACUGUGACUCUUCCCAGCUCAGUAGAACUUGCCAGGGCUUCUCCUUCACUGGCAUAGCUUUGGAGAUGCUGGGGUCACCACCAUACCCCAACAAAGCACAAGAGUAGGACUUGUCCUACACAUUUCAAAUCCUCGAGACAAAGGAAGGAACUAACUGUGAUUGGGAAAACAGGUAAUUCGUGAUUGCCUUCUGACCCAAGUUUGCUGUGUUUGUCAUCAUAUGAAUACACCAACCAAAGGCAUUUCUCACUUUCAAAGUAAAAUGGUGCUACAAGGCUCUGCCUCAUUUUGGACUCUCUUCUCUACUGAUUUGAAAACUGAAGCACCUGAUGACAAUGAACUAAGGCUGUUGGAGCUGCAACUAAGAUGAAAAUUCAGUCAUUCGACAUCAAUAUGUUCCAUGGUAAAGCUCGUUGUUCAAGGUGCAGCCAAUUGUUCCCACUUGGAACUGAACGGAAACAAAGGCAUCUGGAAUUCAUCUUUCCCUCUUGCCAACUGUCAAAGUACUUUGUACCACUCAGGCACUCUGACACUCCUUUACAAUAAGGAAACUGAGGACUCCAAUGGUGGUGGUCACUUAGGUGAAUUAAAUGGCAAAGCUGGGAUUCAAACUCAGUCCUUAGACUCCAAAUAUUCUCUAUAUCCUGCUGUCUCUGGAAGGAAAAUUUUAUACCUUUGUGUUGAUGAAGAAUUAAGACAAUGAGAAUUACCAUAUAUUUGCCAAGAAUCUACCUUGGGCUGAAGUAGCUUAUUUUACAAUAAUAAAAAUAUAUUGUGUUGGUAAAUAAAUUUGCA